GACGAACGCUGGCGGCGUGCUUAACACAUGCAAGUCGAACGGAUAUUCUCUGCUCUUGUCGUGUUCUCGCGUGGCGAACGGAUUAGCAAAACGUUAGUUACCUCCCCUUUACCCUGCGCUUCCUUCAGGAAAAUGGGGUUAAUACCGGUUCUGAUCUCCUGUUGUUUGGUUUUGGUCGUAAUGUUUCGGCGGUUGGGGCUGUUUUCGCGGGUUUUCAGCUUGCUGGUGGGGUUGUGGUUUAUCAAGGCUUUGCCGGGUAGCCGGCCUGAGAGGGUGACCGGCCACAGUGGGACUGAGAUACGGCCCAGACGGCUGCGGGAGGCAGCAGUGGGGAAUAUUGCAAAAUGGGCGGAAGCCGUAUGCAGCGACGCCGCGUGCGGGAUGACGGCCUUCGGGUUGUAAACCGCUUUCGCCUGGGACGAAGCGUGAGUGACGGUAAUGGGUAAAGAAGCACCGGCUAACUACGUG
rnacentral:rRNA from 1 species